UACGUAGGGGGCAAGCGUUGUCCGGAUUUAUUGGGCGUAAAGAGCGUGUAGGCGGCUGGGUAGGUCCGCUGUGAAAACUCGAGGCUCAACCUCGAGAUGUCGGUGGAAACCGUCUGGCUAGAGUCCGGAAGAGGAGAGUGGAAUUCCCGGUGUAGCGGUGAAAUGCGCAGAUAUCGGGAGGAACACCGGUGGCGAAGGCGGUUCUCUGGGCCUUACCUGACGCUGAGGAGCGAAAGCGUGGGGAGCGAACAGG
rnacentral:rRNA from 1 species